CAGGGCGUAGCUAAAUAGCAUAGCAUCUCCCUUACACCGAGAACGCGCCCGUGCAAAUCGAGCCGCCCUGA
rnacentral:tRNA from 1 species